rnacentral:rRNA from 1 species
UAGUACACUUAAAUUUAAUUUUAUAAAUACUAGAAUAUUAAAAGUUAUAUUCUUUAAAUUUAAAAAAUUUGGCGGUGUUUUAGUCUGGUUAGAGGAACCUGUAUUAUAAACGAUACAACACGCAUUAUUUCACUUAUUUUAGUAAACAGUUUGUAUACCGUCAUUAUUAGAUAAUUUAGAAGAAAAAUAUUAUUGGGAUCAUAUUGUUGAGUAUAUUAGAUCAAGGUGCAGCUUAUAAGUAAGUAGAUAUGGGUUACAAUAAAAUUUAUUUAAUAUGGAUUUAAUAUUUAAAUAUGUUUAUGAAGGAGGAUUUAAUUGUAAGGGAAGGAGUAGUAAGAUUUUCUGAUAAAAGCUCUAGAUUAU